rnacentral:lncRNA from 1 species
UGAGUAGUAUUAUCACCAGUAAAAUGCUCACUACAACUAUCCAAAUGAUAGCCUUCCAAAAUGAUAUGCACUUCACUUUGAAAGAUACAAUGGUGUCGUAUUAUGUGCUCUCUUACUUGAGAAUGCAUCAGAUGUAUAGUUGUAAAAGAUAAAUAAUAUUUGCGAGUAUCCGAGUAGUCUAGUGGAUUUCAACCAUCUAAAUACAAAAGAUUGCAAAAAAAUGCCAUAAAUCCACACUGAUGUCCCUUGACUGUCGCCUAGAAGUUGAUGACAAAUUGUAAUUUGUAAUUUUUCCUUCUCUAACUGUUAAUUUUCAUUCAACUUUGUGUUCAGCUCCGCCUUUAAGUCCUUGACUUACCGCAUCAAAAUUCACCUUA